rnacentral:rRNA from 1 species
UACGUAGGGGGCGAGCGUUGUCCGAAGUUACUGGGCGUAAAGCGCGCGUAGGCGGGCCGUUAAGUGGGAGGUGAAAGGCCGGGGCUCAACCCCGUGCAGUGCCUCCCAUACUGGCGGUCUUGAGGGCGGUAGGGAGGAGCGGAAUGGCUGGUGUAGCGGUGAAAUGCGUAGAUAUCAGUCGGAACACCGGUGGCGAAGGCGGCUCCUUGGGCCGUUCCUGACGCUGAGGUGCGAAAGCCAGGGGAGCAAACGGG